rnacentral:rRNA from 1 species
AGAGUUUGAUCCUGGCUCAGGACGAACGCUGGCGGCGUGCCUAAUACAUGCAAGUCGAGCGAACUGAUAAGGAGCUUGCUCCUUUGACGUUAGCGGCGGACGGGUGAGUAACACGUGGGCAACCUACCUGUAAGACUGGGAUAACUUCGGGAAACCGGAGCUAAUACCGGAUGAAUCUUUUCUUCGCAUGAAGAAGAGAUAAAAGAUGGCUUCGGCUAUCACUUACAGAUGGGCCCGCGGCGCAUUAGCUAGUUGGUGAGGUAAGAGCUCACCAAGGCAACGAUGCGUAGCCGACCUGAGAGGGUGAUCGGCCACACUGGGACUGAGACACGGCCCAGACUCCUACGGGAGGCAGCAGUAGGGAAUCUUCCGCAAUGGACGAAAGUCUGACGGAGCAACGCCGCGUGAGCGAUGAAGGUCUUCGGAUCGUAAAGCUCUGUUAUUAGGGAAGAACAAGUAUCGGAGUAACUGCCGGUACCUUGACGGUACCUAACCAGAAAGCCACGGCUAACUACGUGCCAGCAGCCGCGGUAAUACGUAGGUGGCAAGCGUUGUCCGGAAUUAUUGGGCGUAAAGCGCGCGCAGGCGGUCCUUUAAGUCUGAUGUGAAAGCCCACGGCUCAACCGUGGAGGGUCAUUGGAAACUGGAGGACUUGAGUGCAGAAGAGGAGAGUGGAAUUCCACGUGUAGCGGUGAAAUGCGUAGAGAUGUGGAGGAACACCAGUGGCGAAGGCGACUCUCUGGUCUGUAACUGACGCUGAGGCGCGAAAGCGUGGGUAGCGAACAGGAUUAGAUACCCUGGUAGUCCACGCCGUAAACGAUGAGUGCUAAGUGUUAGAGGGUUUCCGCCCUUUAGUGCUGCAGUUAACGCAUUAAGCACUCCGCCUGGGGAGUACGGCCGCAAGGCUGAAACUCAAAGGAAUUGACGGGGGCCCGCACAAGCGG